rnacentral:lncRNA from 1 species
CUACGUCGAAAUUGGACCUCAAUUUGGGAAUUUAUUGGAGAAAUUGAAGUUCAAAUGGUGAAAUUCGUAUCAUCCCCUCCCCCUAGCCCAAAAUUGACCAAUUGAGAAGUUGUGAGAGUUGUUGGUGUGGCCUAAUGAAGGCCAAGGUUUAAUGCUUGGCCUAGAUUGAUUGUUGAAGAUAUUUCUUGUGGAAAAUUGGCAAGGAUGGCCCACCCUCUCUCUUAUCUUCUUCCUCACGCACGGCUCCUCUUCAUUUUUAACUCUGCGGUCUCAGCUUCUGCUUCAUUUUCUUUCGGUCGAAGUCCAGCCCAGCAAAGCUUCCUCCGCGUGUCUUCCUCAACUCCACUUCUCUGCCCCGUAAACGACUGCAACCCAGCGUCCACCGAAGACCGAUCCACCAAGAAGCCAGCUCACGGGAUCUUCACUGGAGCUGCUCCGUGUUUUGUGUCUUCAUCAGCCCACGUCUUGGUCAAUUUCCCCACCGCGUGAAGUUCUUGGUUGACCACUUGAAGCCACGAUCCCACCGAGCUGGUCGGCCACUCACGCCAUCUCCACACCCCACCAAACCGCACGUCUCUGCCAGCGUUUCUUUCCCCAUAGAGUUGCCAUUGAAAUCCCUUGAAGCAACAACGUUGACCCUUGCUCAGCCAACGUGCGACAGCUGCCUCUUCUUCGGCCAACACCGCAAUCCAUCGAAGACCAACGAAAACUGCCGCAGCUGCUUCGCCGUCCACGCGUCCAAGCUGCUUCUGCGUGGGCUCUCUUCAUCAUUCGGUCCAAGUCUCCAAGCUUGGUCAGCGUUCAGCGAAGAAGAACGCUUGCCAGCUACCUUCGUCCGCGAGGUCUUCCACGAAGCAAAUCCGUGGCCGCGUCUUCCCCAGCUCAGCCACCGAAGCUGCUUCUGUCUUCGGUCCAACAGCCAGCAGUUGGGCCAUUGAAGCCCACGAAUUGAUUUCAACAGAACCAGCAACCUCUUUGGGCCUUCUUCUUCAGCCAUGAAGCCUGCGAAGUCUUUGUCCAGCAGCCCAUCAACCGAAUUUUACUGAGGCCCAUCUCCUGCAGUCUUCAAGCCUAGUCCAAUCCAAGUGAAUUAAUUGGUCAAGCCCAUUUCAGCAGGCCCAACCCAACUUGGGUCUGGCCCAAAAGCAAGAACAAAUCUCAGUUGGGCUGAGAUUUGUUGGGCCAAGGUCAAGGCCCGGUCCAAGUCCGCCGAUAUUGUCGAAAGUUCGAUUUUGGCCGCCGUCGUGUCGCCGUUGCGGUGAUUCGAUUCCCGCUUUUGAUCAAGUGAGUUUUACUCACUAAUGCUUUAUUAGUUUGCUAAUUAUGCCUUAGGGUUGGUUAGAUUUAAUUACAUGCACUUAGGUGGUUAGAUUAGGUUAGAACAAUUAAUUUAGUGACUUAAUGAUGCAUGUUAGGUGGUUAGACCUAGCUAUUAGCAAGUAGAAAGGUUCGGUUAUUUAUUGAAUGCAUCUCGGAAUUUUUCCCGACCCAUUUCGGGCUCCAAUAAGGCAAUAUGGGCCUAAAUUGGAUUUUUAAGGUUUAUUUAUUUAUUUUCGAAAUUUAUUUAUUUAAUUAAUUAUUUUUCCGGAAAUUCAACCGGGAUGGCUGGUGAUCGGAAUUUCGUGCUGAUUGUCGUGGUGCAGCCCAUUUAUUUAUUUGAGCUCUACGUUGUGUGGAAUUGAAUUAAUUGUGAAAUUUGAGAAUUUAUCCUUAAUUGUUUGUUAUUGAAUAUUUGAUUGGUAAUGGCCAAGCAUGGGUAUAUAGCGCCAGUACGUUGAUGGGCUAUAUAGUAGGGAGAAUGGUGAGAGCUAACUGAGAACAUUAUUGGUUGAGACCAAUCAGGUACGAUAUUAUUGGACAUACGUGGUUCGGUGAUUGGGAGUAUCACUGGCGAAAACGGCGCCUUAAAGAACGCACGUAAAUGACUUAUAGACAAACGUGGUUCGGUGAUUAUGGAAAUAUCACUGGUGAAAACGACGCCUUAAAGAACUCACGAUGUUGUCUAUAGCCAAUGUCACCUUGGCGAAAACGGCGCCCUUGAAAGGACACGUGGUUCGGUGAUCGAGGAUAUCACUGGUGAAAACGGCGCCUUAAAGAACGCACGGUGUCGGUGAUCGGUAUGUCAUUGGCGAAAACGACGCCCGAGAAACACAUGUGAUUUGGUGAAUGAGUACACCACUGGGAAAUCGUGGUAUGAGUGGGAAUGACCUAGAAAGGGUCUGGCUGACAUGUAAUCGACUUAGUCGAUUGACCAGUGCUUGAUCGAAUGUCGUGAAUUGUUUGAAUAUCUGUAUUUAACCUUGAAUUGCAGGUUGGAACUGAGGCCAAGGUAAGUCCUCUGACUCGUGUUGUGCUUAGGCAACCGUAUGGCGUAUUAGUUUACUAAUCGAGUCGUAGGGGGUAGGACUCGCUGAGACGUGGUAUCAUUGGUUAUUGAAUAACCAUUUCAGGAACCUGAGGAGAAGCUAAGGAAGAGGAACCUGAAGGGGAGAAAGACUUUUGAAGAAGAAGACGAUCCAGAGAGGGAUCUUGAUUAUAACCCGGAUGUGGACUGAGAUCCCAUCCCUUUUGUAAACCCUGUCUUAGCAUAGAUAGGUGUGAGACAAGUAUGUUGUGAAUAGUAUUGUAAAUAUACUAUAAGUUGUGCUGUUAAUGAAAGUGUGGUUAUGAAUUUCAAUAUGAAAAAUAUGGCCUACUUUCCUAUCCUAUUGUUUUAUUGUCUGG